GAUGAACGCUGGCGGCGUGCCUAAUACAUGCAAGUCGAGCGAACGGACGAGAAGCUUGCUUCUCUGAUGUUAGCGGCGGACGGGUGAGUAACACGUGGAUAACCUACCUAUAAGACUGGGAUAACUUCGGGAAACCGGAGCUAAUACCGGAUAAUAUUUUGAACCGCAUGGUUCAAAAGUGAAAGACGGUCUUGCUGUCACUUAUAGAUGGAUCCGCGCUGCAUUAGCUAGUUGGUAAGGUAACGGCUUACCAAGGCAACGAUGCAUAGCCGACCUGAGAGGGUGAUCGGCCACACUGGAACGGAGACACGGUCCAGACGCCUACGGGAGGCAGCAGUAGGGAAUCUUCCGCAAUGGGCGAAAGCCUGACGGAGCAACGCCGCGUGAGUGAUGAAGGUCUUCGGAUCGUAAAACUCUGUUAUUAGGGAAGAACAUAUGUGUAAGUAACUGUGCACAUCUUGACGGUACCUAAUCAGAAAGCCACGGCUAACUACGUG
rnacentral:rRNA from 1 species